AGGGUAUGUUUCAGCUCAGGCAUGCUGCCAUCAGGACCACGUAAAGCUGGAUUUUUCUACGCUAGUCCAUUUGCACGAUCUGGACUCAGAAGAGAUUUAAGUUUCAAAUCUGGCUUUGUCAGUUAAUGCUUGUGGGAUCUCAACCACGUCACUGACUUCUCUGAGCAUGCUUCCAUAUUUCUACAAAGGAAACAAUAGGUGACUCUGCUGAGUUGAGCACUUGCGAGUACCAAGCAGUGAGGACCUGAGGCACAGAUGCUAACCAGCUUGCUGGAGAUCACACACUCAUGAGUGGCAGAGUGGGGCUUGGAACCGGGUAGCCUGGCUCUGGAGCCCUCACUCCAUCCACACACCAUGCUGGGACCCAGUCGAGUGACCAGCAGACCGGUUGUGUGGGUUAGGUGGAAUGGUGGAUAUAAACCACACAGCCCAGCUCCUGACCCAUGCUGGGCCCUCAGUGUAUGUUUAAGCUCAGGCUGGAAAAGGAUCACUGAAAGUCACUUGGAUGGUGUCUCGUGUGUCUGUGAUGAGCUUGCUGUUGCUUUCUUUCUCCUUGACAGAUGAGAAAACAGUGGCUUCAAAGGUUAAACAACUUGUCUUCGAUUGCACAGCUAACAAGAGGUAAAACUGGAAUUUGAAUCGUGGUACUGUGACUUCAGAGGCCAGGUUCGUAGCGCUACACUAACACAGAGACCAGAAGAAGCCUUGACAUUAUCAUAAAACCACAGACAUGAUACAAGGCCAGGAAGAAGGAGGCUUGGGAGCUUAUUAGCUGAAAUAUAUUGAUCACCUUUUCACAGCUUUCUCUUAUUAUCCUCCCAAUGUCUCUGUGAGGACAGUACAGUUAUCACCCCAUUCUAGAGAUGAGGAAACUGAAGCUCAGAGGUGUUAAGAAACUUGUUCUAGGUCACACAGCUAGUAAUGCUUGGGAUCAGGAUUUGAAUUUAGAUUUGUCAUAUUCCAAAGUUUACCUAUAGUCUCAGCUACUAGGGAGGCUAAGGCAGGAGAAUUGCUUGAGCCCAGGAGUUUGAUUUCAGAUUGAGCAACAUAGUAAGAUCCCAUGUCAAAAAAGAAAAAUAAACAGGUGAAAUUAAUUUUAACAAUAUGCUUUACCUAACCCAAUAUAUGCAAAAUAUUACAUUUUAACAUGUAAUCAAUAUUUUCAAAGUUAAUAAUGAAUACCAGAAAUAACACAUGUGCUAAUAACAUGUACGCUGCAACACUAAUAUCUUACCUGAUACAACAGUUAAAAUCAAGUCCCACCAGAGCAAUAAAGUUGUGUCUACCAGAAAAAUAUUUUACACUGCUUCCAUUUUUAAAUUUACAUUUAAAUUAAUUGACAUUAAGUAACAUUUAAAACUCAGUUCCUCAGUCACACGGGCUACAUUUUAAGUGUGCAACAACCACAUAUGGCUAGUGGCCACAGUGGUGCUGGUUAAUGAGCACAGCUCUAAGCCUUCCUUGUGUGUUUUUUUAAAAAUUCAAUUCAGAUUCCACUUCCAUUGUUUGCUUGUUUAACCUUAAAAUCUGUGUGUUUUAACAGACCUGUGUUUAAGCCUUAUAAGUCCCAUCACAAAGUGUCAGUGGUUUGGAGAGAGGUUCUAGAACGUUCUCUUUGUAACAUUAUCACAAAUCUGUGGUUGUUAGGCUGCUCUUGGUUUAUGUUUGAGUUAAACCCUUUGUGUGGUGUCAGACCAAUUCAGGCUUAUGUUUUCCCCGGAGAGAGGAAUAAGCUGCUAUUUUGGACCCUGUCGUGAUCCCUGCCCAGAGUCAAAAGUAAUUCCCAAGCAGACUGAUUUUUACAGGGUCAUGCUCCUCUGAUCUUCUCUCCAGGAGUGUGAUUUUCAACGGGAUAGAGAAAGGCAAACUCCUGAGGAAAAAUUUCUCUGGGAAAGCCCAGGCUGAAGUCGAGGAGGGAAGAGGACGAAAGGCUGACAGGGUUGCCGUCUCUGAGGGAGAUCCACUCACACACCUCAGGAGGCAUUGUGGGAUGGUCAAAGUGGGGAGGAAGAAAGGGAAUCUUCGAAAGAAACUUGCGGCGGGGCACGGUGGCUCACGCCUGUAAUCCCAGCACUUUGGGAGGCUGAGAUGAGUGGAUCACAAGGUCAGGAGUUCGAGACCAGCCUGGUCUGGCCAACAUGGUGAAACCCUGUCUCUACUAAAAAUACAAAAAUUGGCCGGGCUCGGUGGCUCACGCCUGUAAUGCCAGCGCUUUGGGAGGCCGAGGCAGGUGGAUCCCCUGAGGUCAGGAGUUCAAGACCAGCCUGACCAACAUGGAGAAGCCCCGUCUCUACUAAAAAUACAAAAAAAAAAAAAAAAAAAAUUAGCCAGGCAUGAUGGCACACACCUGUAAUCCCGGCUACUUGGGAGGCUGAGGCAGGAGAAUUGCUUGAGCCCGGGAGGCAGAGGUUGCGGUGAGCCGAGAUUUCACCAUUGCACUCCGGCCUGGGCAACAAGAGCAAAACUCUGUCUCAACAACAACAACAAAAAAUUAUCCGGGCGUGGUGGCAUGCACCUGUAAUCCUAGCUACUUAAGAUGCUGAGGCAGGAUAAUUGCUUGAACCCGGUAGGCAGAGGUUGCAGUGAGCAGAAAUCGCACCACUGCACCCCAGCUUGGGUGACAGAGCAAGACUCUGUCUCGGAAAAAAAAAGAAAAAAAGAAAGAAACUUAGGCUGAAAGGUUUAAAUGGACACAGAACAGCAAACUCAAGGACUUCCAUAGCUACUGGGAACCAGCACAGGGCUGACACCUCCAUUGAACUCUCUUUGCUAUUCUAGAAUAUUUUAAUAAUGAGACACACCCAAAACAUGUUUAGAAUCAUGCCACCUGCUGCUUCUCAUGGCCAGCAUUAUUUGUCAUCAAAUCUGAUCCCAAUGUUUGCCAUAUUAUUGGAUAUCCUGUGAAAUAGAAUCUAAAAAUAUACAUUUUUUCCCUCUAAAUCGGUCCUAACCUUACAGCUAGGGUUGCAACUGUAAUAUUGUUGUCUGUUUCAUUUUACUUUCCAGGAUUAGGUAAUAAUAUUAAAUUCCCCAUCUCAUGUUAGUUUCUGUUUGAACUUGGCCUGGUAUUUGAAGAAUAUAUUUAGAAGUUAAAGCGUGCUACUUUUUAUCCCAUGCAAGCCAGUUGUGGGUUCAUAGAUCUGUGGUAUCUCAUAACAUUUUCUGUCCUAAACUGAACACAUCCAGUCUCUCCAAAUUGAAGUUCCUCAGCUGAGGUUAUUUUCAUUUCGGAGAAUUUCUUGAGAGUUGUUUCUGUUAUAGAGGAUAAAGGGAUAGAGGAGUCACAGCUGCCUAAAGUCAGUGCCUCUUUAAAUACAGGCCUUCCUUGCCUCCAGGACUUGAUGUCUUCCUUUAGUGGAGGGCAGCUCCUCAAUUGAAGAGGGCGGGAUUGAGGGAGCAGUUGAAGCAGCAGGUUCGCCUGGGCUCAUGCUUUUCUCUUGUGUGGCUGCUGUUACAGGGACCUUCAGGCACGUUCUAGGAAAGCCAAUUAAAGCAGAAAAGGCCCUUAGAACCAAAUUGAUUGCCCCCAGUAUAGCUGUUAAACUUUGAGAGAGCAGCUGGGUGCUUCUUGUGGCCCUGAUAGUGCCAGAUUGUUCAUGCUGCCUUAGGCUUUCCUGUAACAUUUUUGAAAACCCUUGUUAUAUCCAGUUUAAUGACAUGUAUUGAUCAGAACAAAAAGGGCUGAGGUACUGACUCCAGGAUCAACUCACAGACAGAACCAUACAUUUCUAUUUUUUAGAUUCUGCAAAGCACCCAAGUCAAACAUAGGAUUAUUCCCAGGGUCAUGACCAUACAGCAUUUUAUCUGUGAAGAACAGAUAGUUUAAGUCCUUUAUUUCCAUUUGAUUUCAAAUGUGGAUAAAGAAACAACUAAUUUAUUUUCAGAAAUGUACAUCACCUCUGACUCUCAAAUUAGCACCUGAUUUUCUUAUUUUCACUUUGAAACCGCUGUGUGCUAUUUUGAUUCUCUAGAAAGAGUUAAACUUCUCAUAGGCAUUAAACCCAAGUGGAAAUAGUUGGCCCAAGGCCUAAACUUGUUCUUUAUGAGAAAUACAAGACUCGAAGGGAUUCUAGCCUUUUUAGAAUUAUCAUAGAAUGUGUACAGGAAGCAUGACAUUGGCAGAAAGGGAACAUAGGUGCCUUUUACCGUGUUUAUAUGGACAUGGGUUCUGGGUUUUACAGAUGGGGAAAUAUUGUACGAGUCCAUGGGGAUAUGUAGUGAAAUGGAGAGGGAGAGGGAGAAAGAAAGAGAGAGAGAGAGAGAGAGAGAGAGAGAGAAAGAGAUAUUCUUUUGUACUUUCAGACUGAGCAGUUUACCCAAGUCAGAGAAGCAAGGGUAUACAGGUAAAGUACAGAAUAGUCUGGAAUAAUGUCAUUAUUGUUUGGUCUCUUUACUUCUUUAUAGGGCAUCUCAGAGAGAGAACACAGUUUCUCAAAGUGGAUGGAAGGUGUAUUAUAAGUUUUUAACCCAGAAUAACCAAAACAAUCUU
rnacentral:lncRNA from 10 species